UCCCUGGUGGCUCAGAUGGUAAAGUGCCUGUCUGCAAUGUGGGAGACCCGGGUUCGAUCCCUGGGUUGGGAA
rnacentral:tRNA from 1 species